CCAGACUCCUACGGGAGGCAGCAGUGGGGAAUAUUGCACAAUGGGGGAAACCCUGAUGCAGCGACGCCGCGUGAGUGAAGACGGUCCUACGGAUUGUAAACCUCUUUUGCCGGGGAGCAACGGGGUCCUUGCGAGGGCCCGAUGAGAGUACCCGGAGAAAAAGCAUCGGCUAACUCCGUGCCAGCAGCCGCGGUAAUACGGAGGAUGCGAGCGUUAUCCGGAUUUAUUGGGUUUAAAGGGUGCGCAGGCGGCACGGCAAGCCGGCGGUCAAAUCGCGGGGCUCAACCCCGCCCAGCCGUCGGAACUGCCGGGCUAGAGUGGGCGAGAAGUGCGCGGAAUGCGUGGUGUAGCGGUGAAAUGCAUAGAUAUCACGCAGAACUCCGAUUGCGAAGGCAGCGCACCGGCGCCCUACUGACGCUCAGGCACGAAAGCGUGGGUAUCGAACAGGAUUAGAUACCCCGGUA
rnacentral:rRNA from 1 species